rnacentral:rRNA from 1 species
UACGUAGGGGGCAAGCGUUGUCCGGAUUUAUUGGGCGUAAAGAGCGUGUAGGCGGCCAUACAGGUCCGUUGUGAAAACUCGAGGCUUAACCUCGAGACGUCGAUGGAAACCGUAUGGCUAGAGUCCGGAAGAGGAGAGUGGAAUUCCUGGUGUAACGGUGAAAUGCGCAGAUAUCAGGAAGAACACCCGUGGCGGAGGCGGCUCUCUGGGACGGUACUGACGCUGAGACGCGAAAGCGUGGGGAGCGAACAGG